UACGUAGGGCGCAAGCGUUAUCCGGAAUUAUUGGGCGUAAAGAGCUCGUAGGCGGUUUGUCGCGUCUGCGGUGAAAGACCGGGGCUCAACUCCGGUUCUGCAGUGGGUACGGGCAGACUAGAGUGAUGUAGGGGAGACUGGAAUUCCUGGUGUAGCGGUGAAAUGCGCAGAUAUCAGGAGGAACACCGAUGGCGAAGGCAGGUCUCUGGGCAUUAACUGACGCUGAGGAGCGAAAGCAUGGGGAGCGAACAGG
rnacentral:rRNA from 1 species